GUUUACCUACGGGACGCAGCAGUGGGGAAUAUUGCACAAUGGGGGAAACCCUGAUGCAGCAACGCCGCGUGAGUGAAGAAGUAUUUCGGUAUGUAAAGCUCUAUCAGCAGGGAAGAAAACGACAGUACCUGACUAAGAAGCCCCGGCUAACUACGUGCCAGCAGCCGCGGUAAUACGUAGGGGGAAAGCGUUAUCCGGAUUUACUGGGUGUAAAGGGAGCGUAGACGGCUGCGCAAGUCAGAAGUGAAAGCCCGGGGCUAAACCGCGGGACUGCUUUUGAAACUGUAUAGCUAGAGUGCAGGCGG
rnacentral:rRNA from 1 species